rnacentral:rRNA from 1 species
UACGAAGGGGGCUAGCGUUGCUCGGAAUUACUGGGCGUAAAGGGAGCGUAGGCGGACAGUUUAGUCAGAGGUGAAAGCCCAGGGCUCAACCUUGGAAUUGCCUUUGAUACUGACUGUCUUGAGUAUGGGAGAGGUGUGUGGAACUCCGAGUGUAGAGGUGAAAUUCGUAGAUAUUCGGAAGAACACCAGUGGCGAAGGCGACACACUGGCCCAUUACUGACGCUGAGGCUCGAAAGCGUGGGGAGCAAACAGG